GGUAAUGUCUGGGAAACUGCCCGAUGGAGGGGGAUAACUACUGGAAACGGUAGCUAAUACCGCAUAACGUCGCAAGACCAAAGAGGGGGACCUUGGGCCUCUUGCCAUCGGAUGUGCCCAGAUGGGAUUAGCUAGUAGGUGGGGUAAUGGCUCACCUAGGCGACGAUCCCUAGCUGGUCUGAGAGGAUGACCAGCCACACUGGAACUGAGACACGGUCCAG
rnacentral:rRNA from 1 species